rnacentral:rRNA from 1 species
GACAGAGGUGCCAAGCGUUAGGCGGAAUCACUGGGCUUAAAGCGUGUGUAGGCGGAUCGUUAAGUACCUUGUGAAAUCCCACGGCUCAACCGUGGAACUGCUGGGUAUACUGGCGAUCUUGAGCCACCUAGGGGCGAGCGGAACAAGCGGUGGAGCGGUGAAAUGCGUAGAGAUCGGAAAGAACACCAACGGCGAAAGCACUCUGCUGGGCCGACCCUGACACUGAGAGACGAAAGCUAGGGGAGCGAAUGGG